UUAAAAAGCUUCUUAUCUCACAGAGCCGUAGAGCAGAUAGUGAUGAAAACCAGGCCCAGGACUUAAUUGUCAGGUUAACAAAAUGACAAGGGAGACGAUGACCAGCCUUCAUAGUCCUACAUUAAAUCUGGGCCUUUAAUAGAUGUAGCCGCAGUUCCUUCAGAACUCACUUGCGAACAUUUGAUGACUAAGCCAGAAAAUCUUGGGCCAUGGAUUCUUCUGAACCUUGCACUAGGCUUUCUGUACUUGGAGAACCUGGAGAGAUGUCACUCGGGACAGGUGCCUCAAAAGGGGUACAUGUGUUCCUCAAGAAGUCGUCCUGCCUUUUCUGCCUCCAGACCAAUAACCAGGGGCAGGACUCAGGAUAGUCCAAACAGAGAAAUACUUGCCCUGUUCUGGGAGGAAGUAAAGCAUAUAACCUCAAAUUGUAAAAUGCAUACCAGUAAGAAUUGCAAAAAAGUAUGGUGGAGUAGAACUUGAGGGUGAUGGAUGGACGGCAGAGGUGGUAUAUUCAAUAGCAUCGGAGUACUCUCCCGUGACGCAGGAUUUAAAGUUUUGAAUGAACCUGUGGCUAUUUACCAGAUUAACUCAACACUGGAAAAAGACAUUUCCAGCUGACAUGGUUAUUGGGAGACUCAAAACACUCUCCUAGUACCCUAUCCAGAGUGGAGGCUAGUGGAGGAGAAGGGGCAAAUGGAAACCUCAUUUAAGUUGAUCUCACAUUGAUCCAUGGACCUGUGAGGCACAGGAUUCUAGAUGAUGCUGUAACACCUCCAUUGGUACUAUUGAUAUUGGAGGCCUUAUCUUACUCACCUCUCCAUUCUGAACACAUCUGACAAUUAGCUCUUCAGAGUUCUCAGUUGAGCCUGUUUUUAAAUUGGAUGUGGAAAGUGUAAGUGGAAAAUUGGAUAUGUAAGAGAAAGAGACUGAAGAAUUAAAAUCAACCUGCUCGUAAGUAUAGCUUAUCUUUUCCUAAAAGGUGCCUUACGUUGUUGUGGCAGAAGGUAAUCAUUAUACUGUCUUGGUUCUAUUGUAUGUGGAAAAUAUUUGCAUGAAGUCAUUGUCUAGAAGUAACACCUGGGAGUAUGCAAUUGAUUUUGAUUUUGGUACGUAUCACCCAAUUUAAGGUAUGCUUCUAUGGCACAUUACUUUUCCAGUGGGAAGUGACUAGUUAAAUGUUGAGCAAGAAUCCUCAUGGAGAGCAGUAGAAAUAUCUAAUGAAUAGAAAUAUCUAAUGAUUUGUGCAGAAACGAAUGAACAUAGCAGGACUGCUAUCCUUAGAAAAGCCUGUUUGCAAGGCUGCUCCUUGACUGAGGAUAUACAGAGGGUUUCCAAAGCCUUAACUCAUGAACGUGCUCACUCUGCCUAAAUAGUUUGUGCAAACAAUAUUAUUUAUGCUGGAAACCUGCUUUCCUUCUGGGAUUCUGGAGUUUGGGUACAUGCUAGGUGAAAACUGCCUAUCUGAUCAGUCCCCAGUACAAAUCCCCGGCACUGGGUUUCUCAUUAGCUUCCCUGAUAAGUAACACUUGUCUCAUUUUCUCACAACUCCUACCUGGGAACUUAAGUAUGUGCUAUGACACUCUGGUGAAAGAGGGUUCCCGGGAGCUGUGUCUAGUUUCUUCUGGGCUUUACUCAAAGUACCUUUUCUCUUUGCUGAUUUUGCUUUUUGCAUCUUUUCACUUUAAUAAAUCAUAGACAUAGUUCUGAGUCCUGGGAGUGCUUCUGGAGAGAUCAAAUUUGGUGGGAGUCUUGAAGACCCCUAUGACACUAACUCAAAAAUGAUACUGGCUAACCGGUACAGAGACUGAUUUGCUCUAGGUACUGUUCCAAGAACGUUAUGUACAUGAAACCAUUCGUUACUCACUUCGAUUUCACUAUGGGGAUACUAUCACGAACACAACCAUUUGGGGAAACCAAGGCAUAGAGAAAUAGCUCGCCUUCCUCUUGUAAGUUUCAGAGCUGGGAUGAUAUGCCAGAAGGCAAUUAUGCAGUGAACUGGAGGGAGAGAAUUCAAUCAGUGAACCGCAAACUAAUUUUUGCCUGAAUAAGCUCAGUGUUUGACUAAUGAUGGGCAAUUUGAAUAUAAAUUUUACUUAUAUAAAAUUUUAUUUACUUAUAUACAUUUAAAGUUCUCUUAUGAGAACUCUAGAUUUUUACUCUCAUCAGUGAUCUCCUCAGACCUUUUAAUAUUUGACUGGUAAAUGAUUCUCCAUCAAAUAGCCCAUGCACCUGUGUUUUUCUCUUAUGUCCAAACAGUUAUGCAAAUAACAGUUUCUUUUUAGGUUGCUCUCUCAGGGCAGCAGUAAGAAAAAAGAAUGUUUGGGAAUGUACCUUAAAACCUUUUUGGUUGAAGGGUGCCUGGCUGGCUCAGUCGGUAGAGCAUGAUGAGGCUCGUAAUCUCAGGGUUGUGAGCUUGAGUCGCCCAUUGGAUUUAAAAAUAAAAUCUUUAAAAAGAAAAAGAAAAAAAAUUUAAUUGAUGCAGCUCUCCUCCAUAACUUUGCCUCCAAACGAAUUAUUCAAAUUCAGAAUUUUAUUUAAUAUUUUCUCAGGAAUAAAAGCAAUAUUUUUGUCCAAACGAAAUUAUUUGCUUCUGUGGGACCCAGUUAUCUGGCAUCAUGAAUGAUAUUCCUUUUUUUUUUUUUUUUGAAUGAUAGUCUUGGAAAUCUCUACCCUUGUGCAAGUAACUCUAUGCUAAGAUGUACUCCAGGGUUUAUACCCAUAACAUGAAGAAGGUGAGUGCAGUGAGAAGGAAAGUUAAACAAGCUUUAUGUAAGUGGUGAGUCAAAGGACAAUUUAUUCUUAGAGCACUAAGUCCGGAUAUCCAGAAACCAGAUUUUGGUCAAAACUUUCAUGGAGAGGGCACAUGCAUAGAACCUUCCCAAAAAUGAGCAUAAGGAUGUUAUCAGAAAGGGAAUAUUUAUAGAGUCUCAUAUGAUCUCCUCUCAAGGUUUUACUCAUUAUAAAGGGACAGAUAAGAACAUUUUAGUGGUGAAACCUGGUAGAUUCCACCUUAAACGAUUAAUCAUUGUUAGUAUCACACGCCUUCUGAUAUAAUGCACUGAGGGAGACAAAAGUUUGUUUUUAAGAUAGUCUCACCAAAAAUGCAUAGCCUGAGUCCGUCCGGUCAGGGGUAUACAUCAGACAAACCCAAACUGAGGAACAUUACAAAAUGACUUCAUGCUUCAAGAACAUGAAGAAUUGCCGAUAGGUAAUUCCAGAUCAAGGGAGACUAAGGAGACAUAAGAGAAUUAUAUGUAAUAUACGAUCUUGGAUUGGAUCCUAGGUCUGAGAAGUAAAAAAGCCAAGGCUACAUAGGUCAUUAGUGGGACAGCUGAUGAAACUUGAAUGAAGUUGGUAUCUUAGAAAUCACACUGUAUCAUUAUGAAUUUUAUGAUUUUUGAUAUUUCUACCAUGGUUAUAGUCUUUAUCUUAGGAAGUAUGCAGUGAAAUGCUUAGGGGGGUAGAGAGGCACAUGUCCGCAACUUACUUCAAAGUGUUGCUAAAACUAACACAUGUGCGCGUGCACGUGUGUGUGUACGUGAGAGAGACAAUGACAAGGCACGUGUGGUAAAUAUUCACAUUUAGGGAGUAUGGAUGAAGGAUAGCAGUAAUGCUUUCUACCACUUUUGCAGCUUUUUUGUAAGUCCGAAAUUAGUUCAAAAAUUAAAAAUAAAAGUUUUUUAAUGAGGUCAGAGUCAGAGAGGGCUUUAGAGUUAAAAUAAAACCCCGGGGCAGAUUUCACUCACAUGGAAGAGGUUAUGAUUAAACAUUUGGUCAGUGAGCCAGGCCACACAGCUUGGCUGGGUGCCUCUUCUGUUCAGCCAUUCUCCCGUGGUGUUAGACUUCCACAUGAGUGAACGGAACAGCAGAGAUCCUGCCAUGGGAUGCUCACAUUCCAGUGGGAAAAGACCAACAACAACACAAACAAAAGUUCUGAGUGCAUUAGAACGUGAUAAUAACUAAGGAAAAUGAAAAACAGAUUGGAAGAAAUGUGACAAGUGUGCCAGGAGGACACUGUGGUUAAUGACCUGGUGGCUACACGUCUGGGGAACCCUUUGGCCUCCUCCUUGAGAAACUCUCCACAUCCAAGGGAGAGCUUCAUUCAGUUCAGACCCCCAGGGUGACAGGACCUUUGCCACACGAUAACUACUGCUGCUCUACUACUCUGACAGUAGGAUGACUCACCUUGGUAUGACGGAAGGAUUGUUUCUUCCAGAAGUACCAGUUUUUAUAUGGAAAACACGACCCAAAGCAAGAAACACAGCACUAUUUCUCUGAUGCUCACAAGUAUUGAGAUUCGGUUCAAGUUAAUAGAUUAGUAAGAUUUUCAGUUAGUUUAUUUUCCAAAAGCUUCUGAGAGAACGAGCCCAGUGUUUUAGACUUCCAGAAACCUAGCUGACCCCUUCCUAGCCCUGUGAUGCUACAGCCCACAGUUGGGACCACGUGACCGUCCCACCAGUUCAGGUUCACCUGCAAGCCUGGGGACCACUCCUCUUUGCAGGAAGGAAGCCCCAGGUUAGUUGUUCCGGUGACUCAACGUCAGUUCAAACUCAUUGUACCCAGUUUAAAUGACUGACUCUUUGCCUUUUUCUUAGACCUUGUACCGGAAGUCUUCCCACUCAGUCUUACUCAAGAGCCUUGAGGGUAUAUGAGAGACAGAUUGGUCUGCUCCUGUUCCUUGAUGACUUAACAGCCAUAGGAAUACUAUUUAUUGUUUAGUGUGUGCCAGAUACUGCAUUAAAGUCCUCUGUUCUUUGAUAUGGGAGUCUUGUUUGGUACACAAAGAAGGAAGACCUGGAGAGUGUGAGUUGGCCAAGAUUGCCAUAAGGUUGGGUUUAACCCAGCGGUCCACCCCAGAACUAGAGCAUGUUCCUAACGCUGACUUCAGCAUGCCUCGAUUUCCGUAUUCCAGUUUUUCUAGUUUGUCUUUUUCCCUGCUCUGUCGAUUUCCUGCAUCACUCACUUUUUGCUAGAUUUAUACAGAUGUCCACAUGCGGUUGCUCUUCUUUCUCUUGGGUUAUCUUGCUUUGUUCAAAGCAGGGUUCCCCCAACCUGACGGGUCUGUUCCCCAGCACUCUAUCCAUUCCCAACUUCUUUUUGAGGCUCUCCAUAGAACUUCCUAAAACAAAGCAUGAGGAAUCACAAACCUGGAACCAGUUUCUUCUCUCUCCAAACUUACAUGAACUAGGCAAGUCAGUCAUUCUUUCUAUGUAAAAUAUGAUGCUAGCUUGCCAAGGGAGAGUAAAACUCAUAAAAGUAAAGUAAGAUGGUGUACAUGAAAGUAACCACCAUGUUUCCAAGGCCAUCGAAUUUUUCUCUCUGUUUAUAUUUCAGUGUGUUUGUAUCUGUGUGUGUGUGUGUGUGUGUGUUUAACCUCCUCUUGAUGCUUAGACAUUGCAUUUGUAUAUUUACACUAGAUGCGUCUGUAAUGGGACUGUUAGAUUACAUAUUACUAUGUGCAUGUUACAGGAACAUCUUUUGCUCCAACUCAUAAUGAUUUUGUGGGAAAUUUUAAGAAUUUAAGAAUGCUUGGCUACCAAAGUGGUUCCCGGCCAGCUUUCUCUACUAGCACAUCAGCAAGAUGCCAACAUACUUCAUCGGGAGAAGUGACUCAUCACCCAGAAAUUACUCUCAACACCAGAAAGGCAGGCAACUCCAAGAGGGCAUUUUACCAUUUCUGUUGAGGAGGGAUAUAAAUAAUUUGAAACGUGCCUGUCUCUGGACUUUCCUGGUGUGCUCCUCAGAGAAAGGGCAGA